rnacentral:snoRNA from 1 species
ACCCUCCAGAUUCCUUACCCCUCUGAUCUAAAUAUUGGUCUGAGAGGCUAAAAAAAGGAGGAAAAGUAAAACUGAAAUGGAAUUGGAGUCUUUAAUGACAUACAAGUUCAUUUCAAACAUUU